rnacentral:sRNA from 1 species
CACUUUUCAGAAUAUUCAUGAUUUUAAUGAGCUGAAAGAUAGAGAGCAUACAGUGUUAAAGUCUGGAAUGGCUAAGAUCGCAUAGACUAGUAUGAAGAAUGGAACUUGGCAUUUAAUGGAGGAUGGACAGACAAAGAUGAGCUCAUGAAAAAUACUGAGGAGAAGCCAGAGAGACUGGAGGAGAAGCAGGAGAAUGUAGGAUCCUGAAACCUGAGGGGAAGGAGUAUCAAGGAGACAGGAUCAUGUAAGAUUCAGAAACACGAGUUGAUCUGAAAUUUAUGUACCCGGAUCCUCCAAGAGAUCAUCACACCUUAGAGAUUCAGCAGCAAGCCCUGCUAAGAGAGCAGCAGAAGAGGCUGAACAGAAUAAAAAUGCAGGAAGGUGCCAAAGUUGACUUAGAUGCCAUCCCAAGUGCUAAAGUACAAGAGCAAAGAAUGCCCAGAGAUGACACUAGUGAUUUCUUGAAAAACUCAUUAUUGGAAUCUGAUAGUGCUUUUAUUGGGGCUUACGGUGAGACAUAUCCUGCCAUUGAAGAUGACGUCCUCCCUCCACCAUCACAGUUGCCCUCUGCACGGGAGCGCAGGAGGAACAAAUGGAAAGGACUAGACAUUGAUAGCAGUCGUCCUAAUGUAGCACCAGAUGGUCUCUCUCUAAAAUCUAUAUCCAGUGUAAAUGUUGAUGAGCUUAGAGUGAGAAAUGAGGAACGAAUGCGAAGACUGAAUGAA